rnacentral:rRNA from 1 species
GACGAACGCUGGCGGCGUGCCUAAUACAUGCAAGUCGAACGCAGUGGGGACGGGUGAGUAACACGUGGGUAACCUCCCAUAAGAGGGGAGAACCCGUGGAAACAGGUGCUAAACCGAUACUGAUGGAGGGACCCGCGGUGGAUUAGCUAGUGGGUGGGGUAACGGCUUACCAAGGCCACGAUGCAUAGCCGUCCUGAGAGGAGGAUCAGCCACACUGGGACUGAGACACGGCCCAGACUCCUACGGGAGGCAGCAGUGGGGAAUAUUGCACAAUGGGCGCAAGCCUGAUGCAGCCAUGCCGCGUGUAUGAAGAAGGCCCUAGGGUUGUAAAGUACUUUCAGUCGGGAGGCGUUACCGACAGAAGAAGCACCGGCUAACUCCGUGCCAGCAGCCGCGGUAAUAC